rnacentral:rRNA from 1 species
GAAUUGUUCGCAAUGGGCGCAAGCCUGACGACGCAACGCCGCGUGGAGGAUGAAGAUUUUCGGAUCGUAAACUCCUUUCGAUCGGGACGAAUGGCUGGAGACCUAAUACGUCUCCAGAGUGACGGUACCGAGAGAAGAAGCCCCGGCUAACUCCGUGCCAGCAGCCGCGGUAAUACGGGGGGGGCAAGCGUUGUUCGGAAUUACUGGGCGUAAAGGGCGCGUAGGCGGCCUGCUAAGUCGGACGUGAAAUCCCUCGGCUCAACCGGGGAACUGCGUCCGAUACUGGCGGGCUUGAAUCCGGGAGAGGGAUGUGGAAUUCCAGGUGUAGCGGUGAAAUGCGUAGAUAUCUGGAGGAACACCGGUGGCGAAGGCGGCAUCCUGGACCGGUAUUGACGCUGAUGCGCGAAAGCCAGGGGAGCAAACGG